rnacentral:tRNA from 5 species
CAUAGUUCAGUCGGUAGAACGGCGGACUGUUAAUCCGUAUGUCACUGGUUCGAGUCCAGUUG